rnacentral:rRNA from 1 species
UACGUAGGUGGCAAGCGUUGUCCGGAUUUACUGGGCGUAAAGAGCGCGCAGGCGGUUGAUUAAGUCGAAUGUGGAAGCCCCCGGCUCAACUGGGGAGGGUCAUUCGAUACUGAUCGACUUGAAGGCAGGAGAGGGUAGUGGAAUUCCCGGUGUAGUGGUGAAAUGCGUAGAUAUCUGGAGGAACACCGGUGGCGAAGGCGGCAUCCUGGACCGACACUGACGCUGAGGAGCGAAAGCCAGGGGAGCAAACGGG